rnacentral:rRNA from 1 species
UACCAGCACCCCGAGUGGUCGGGACGAUUAUUGGGCCUAAAGCAUCCGUAGCCGGCCUUACAAGUCCUCCGUUAAAUCCAGCUGCUUAACAGAUGGGCUGCGGAGGAUACUAUAAGACUAGGAGGCAGGAGAGGCAAGCGGUACUCAGUGGGUAGGGGUAAAAUCCGUUGAUCCAUUGAAGACCACCAGUGGCGAAGGCGGCUUGCCAGAAUGCGCUCGACGGUGAGGGAUGAAAGCUGGGGGAGCCAAACCGG